AUUGAACGCUGGCGGCAGGCCUAACACAUGCAAGUCGAACGAGUGGCGGACGGGUGAGUAAUGUCUGGGAAACUGCCUGAUGGAGGGGGAUAACUACUGGAACAGGUAGCUAAUACCGCAUACCAUCGGAUGUGCCCAGAUUGGAUUAGCUAGUAGGUGGGGUAAAGGCUCACCUAGGCGACGAUCCCUAGCGGGUCUGAGAGGAUGACCAGCCACACUGGAACUGAGAAACGGGCCAGACUCCCACGGAAGGCAGCAGUGGGGAAUAUUGCACAAUGGGCGCAAGCCUGAUGCAGCCAUGCCGCGUGUAUGAAGAAGGCCUUCGGGUUGUAAAGGACUUUCAGCGGGGAGGCGUUACCCGCAGAAGAAGCACCGGCUAACUCCGUGCCAGCAGCCGCGGUGAUUC
rnacentral:rRNA from 1 species